rnacentral:lncRNA from 1 species
CAUAUUUCUAUGCUUAAAGGUCUAGGACUUCUGGUCCAAAAUUGAUAUUGACAAUUUGAAUAUUUGAUGUGUUAAAUUAAUGGAUGAGACAAAUUGUGGAUUGUCAUAAAUGACAGGUAAAAUAAAUGGAUGAAUGGAUGAGAGAGAGAAGAAAUAAAUGGAUAAGCAGACAGAUGUAAUAUGUAAAUGAAGGAAGAAUAGAUGGCCAAGGGAAUGAAUAUAUGGAUGGUUGAAUGACAAGUAAUGGAUGAAUAUUCUUUCUUCAAUAGACC